UGCAGUCGCCGGCAGCAAAUAAGCCUGGUACGCUUGUUGCGCCGUGUUUGUCGACAAUAAUUUCGCCCAUGCGGUUGCGUUCAACCGUUCCUUCUAACCAUUCUGUGUUUGGCACGAGACCGAUUUGGACGAAUACACCUUGAAGUUCAACGUGUUUUUCUUCGCCUGUUUCGCGGUCUACAUAUGUGAUGCCGUUAACACUCUGAUCACCUGUGAUUUCUUUUGUUUGUGCGUUUUUUACAACAGUAACGUUAGGCAGGCUGUAGAGACGUUUUUGCAGGACUUCGUCUGCUUUCAGUUCCGGUGCGAACUCUAGCACAGUAACAUGAUUGACAAUACCUGCAAGGUCAAUCGCUGCUUCAAUACCAGAGUUUCCGCCGCCGAUUACCGCUACGUCUUUGCCUUCAAACAAUGGCCCAUCACAGUGCGGGCAGUAUGCGACACCUUUGUUUUUGAACUCUUGUUCACCUGGUACGUUGACAUUGCGCCAGCGUGCACCUGUUGAAAGGAUCACUGUUUUACUUUUCAGAACAGCGCCGUUUUCGAGUUCAAGUUCGAACAGAUCUUUCUUCUCAAGGCGUUUCGCACGCUGAAGGUUCAUGACAUCAAUAUCAUAUUCCUUCACAUGCUCUUCAAGACUUGCCGCAAGCUUCGGUCCUUCCGUCGCUUUGACGCUGAUGAAGUUUUCGAUGCUCAUGGUGUCGAGAACCUGUCCGCCGAAGCGUUCAGCGACAACCCCAGUGCGGAUGCCUUUACGUGCAGUGUAGAUCGCUGCACUUGCACCAGCAGGUCCGCCUCCAACAACAAGAACGUCAAACGGCUCUUUGUCAGCAAACUCAGAUGCAUCUGCGCCGCUGCCCAUUUUCGCAAGGAUUUCUUCAAGCGUCAUACGGCCGCUUCCGAAGGAUUCGCCAUUCAGGUAAACGGUCGGCACUGCCAUGAUGUUUUUGCUUUCAACUUCUGCCUUGUAUGCUGCACCGUCAAUCAUCGUGUGCGUAAUGUUCGGGUUCAGCACGCUCAUCAUGUUUAAAGCUUGUACAACAUCAGGACAGUUGUGGCAUGUCAGGCUGAUAUAAGAUUCGAAGUGGUAUUCACCGCUGAUCUUCUUCACCUGAUCAAUGACUUUUUGGUCCACCUUAGGCGGUCUGCCGCUCACUUGGAGCAGCGCCAACACUAAUGAUGUGAAUUCGUGGCCCAGAGGGAUACCGGCGAAAGUCACGCCAGUGUCUUCUCCGACACGAUUGACACUGAAGCUUGGCGUUCUGUUUAAUUCAGCUUUUUCAACUGAAAUUUUCGAUGACAUGGAAGCCAGCUCAUCAACGAGAGCCAGCAUGUCCUUAGAAGUGUCAUCUUCGCCUGCGCUAACUUUGAGAACAAUGUCAUUCUCAAUUAGCUGCAUAUAUUGAUUUAAUUGUGCUUUGAUGUUUGCAUCAAGUACCAAUUGAAUGCACUCCUUAGAUUUUACCUACUAGAUCAAGGCUAGGUGUAAGAGUUUCGCCGCCUUCUUCCCAUUUAGCCGGGCAAACUUCACCUGGGUUUUGACGAACGUAUUGAGCUGCUUUUACUUUGUUUACAAGGUUGCUUGCGUCACGGCCGAUACCGCCUGCAUUGAUUUCAACAGUUUGGAUAACGCCGUCUGGAUCGAUGAUGAAUGUUCCGCGGUCAGCAAGGCCAGUUUCUUCGUCAAGAACAUCGAAGUUGCGAGAGAUCGUUUGAGAUGGGUCGCCGAUCAUUGCGUAAGUGAUUUUGCUGAUUUUUUCAGAGCUGUCAUGCCAGCCUUUGUGUACGAAGUGAGUAUCUGUAGAAACAGAGUAGACUUCAACACCUAAUUCUUUAAGAGCAGCAUAUUGUUCUUGAAGAUCUUCAAGCUCAGUUGGGCAUACGAAAGAGAAAUCUGCUGGGUAGAAGCAGAAUACGCUCCAUUGGCCUUUCAAAUCUUCGUUUGUUACAUCGAUGAAUUCACCGUUUUUGAAUGCUUUUGCUUCGAAUGGAAGUACUUCUUUACCGAUUAAAGACAUAAUGUAUAUUCCUCCUAAAAAUGUAUUAGAAAGCAUAAUCGCUUUCAAUAAUAAUUCUAAUUAUAUAUGAAUUAUUAAUUAAUAUAUAUUUUUUGUCAAGCCAUAACCUACUUUUUUUCAUCUUACUAAAGGUGUGACAGGUAGGAUUUAUGCAUUUCUUUUAUAACAAAUGAGAGGCUGAUUCUCAAUUAGACAAGGUUUUCAGGGACUUUUGUAAAUCAGAAUGACAGGCCGUUUUGGCAUUUGAACAUUUUAUGACAUCAUGGUCAAGGGCAAAGGACAAUGGCCAAAAGCAGAAUAGAACGGAACAGCAAGCUGCUGUCACAUGAUGAUCUUGGGGAUUGUUUCUAGCUAUUAUUGUAUCACUGUUUAUGAUAUUUAAAACAUAACUUAUGUCUUCUGUUGUUUGGGAUAGAAGAAAAAAACACGGUUCAGUUGAAAACUGACCGUGUUUUUGAUGACAGGUUAUUCAGACCAAUUCGUAUGGAAAACGCCGUCCAUAUCAGUCCGUUCGUACGUGUGAGCGCCAAAGUAAUCGCGCUGCGCCUGCAAGAGGUUCGCAUUGGAACGCCCUGUGCGGUAGCCGUCGUAAUAAGAGAGCGCGGUAGUUAAGCAUGGGAAAGAGAUUCCGGUGCUGAUGCCCUCGCAAACGACUUUUCGCAGGCCUGUUUGAUAGGCAUGGAGCUUAUCUGUGAAAUAAGGCGCGAUCAGCAGGUUAGCCAGAUUUGGCUGCUCACUGAAUGCUUCGCUGAUCACGUUUAGGAAAUCAGCGCGGAUGAUGCAGCCGCCUCGGAAAAUCAAGGCGAUGUCUUUGAGCGGCAGAUUCCAGCCGUAAAGCUCAGAUGACAUCUUAUAUUGGGCAAAGCCUUGUGCAUAGGCGCAUACUUUCCCCAUGUAAAGAGCCUGUCUG
rnacentral:rRNA from 1 species